UACGUAGGUGCAAGCGUUGUCCGGAAUUAUUGGGCGUAAAGAGCUCGUAGGCGGUCUGUCGCGUCGGAUGUGAAAAUCCAGGGCUCAACCCUGGACCUGCAUUCGAUACGGGCAGACUAGAGUUCGGCAGGGGAGACUGGAAUUCCUGGUGUAGCGGUGAAAUGCGCAGAUAUCAGGAGGAACACCGGUGGCGAAGGCGGGUCUCUGGGCCGAUACUGACGCUGAGGAGCGAAAGCGUGGGAGCAAACAGG
rnacentral:rRNA from 1 species